CUGGUCUAAGCCUCCAUGGGCCGGUGGGGAGAUCAAAGUUCUACCUCACUGGUCCACAGCAGCAUGGAGGGAGGCAGCAGAGAACCCGGGCUAGAGUUCACUCUACACUGAACCACCAGGGAAGGCAGCAGGACUGUGAUAUUAACUAAUCUGCCCCCACUCCACCCAAACAUACAGCACACACACACACCCACAGUACCUACACACAGCCCACAAACAGCACCCACACACAUACU